GAUGAACGCUGGCGGCGUGCCUAAUACAUGCAAGUCGAGCGAAAAGACGAGGAGCUUGCUCCUCUGACGUUAGCGGCGGACGGGUGAGUAACACGUGGAUAACCUACCUAUAAGACUGGGAUAACUUCGGGAAACCGGAGCUCAUACCGGAUAAUAUAUUGAACCGCAUGGUUCAAUAGUGAAAGACGGUUUUGCUGUCACUUAUAGAUGGAUCCGCGCCGCAUUAGCUAGUUGGUAAGGUAACGGCUUACCAAGGCAACGAUGCGUAGCCGACCUGAGAGGGGGAUCGGCCACACUGGAACUGAGACACGGUCCAGACUCCUACGGUAGGGAGCAGUAGGGAAUCGUCCGCAAUGGGCGAAAGCCUGACGGAGCAACGCCGCGUGAGUGAUGAAGGUCUUCGGAUCGUAAAACUCUGUUAUUAGUGAAGAACAAAUGUGUAAGUAACUAUGCACGUCUUGACGGUACCUAAUCAGAAAGCCACGGCUAACUACGUG
rnacentral:rRNA from 1 species